UCUAGAGAGACUGCCAGGGAUAACCUGGAGGAAGGUGGGGAUGACGUCAAAUCAUCAUGCCCCUUAUGCUUAGGGCUACACACGUGCUACAAUGGGUAGUACAGAGGGUUGCCAAGCCGUAAGGUGGAGCUAAUCCCUUAAAGCUACUCUCAGUUCGGAUUGUAGGCUGAAACUCGCCUACAUGAAGCUGGAGUUACUAGUAAUCGCAGAUCAGAAUGCUGCGGUGAAUGCGUUCCCGGGUCUUGUACACACCGCCCGUCACACCACGGGAGUUGGGGACGCCCGAAGCCGAUUAUCUAACCUUUUGGAAGAAGUCGUCGAAGGUGGAAUCAAUAACUGGGGUGAAGUCGUAACAAGGUAGCCGUAUCGGAAGGUGCGGCUGGAUCACCUCCUUUCUAAGGAGA
rnacentral:rRNA from 1 species